rnacentral:rRNA from 1 species
GUAGGGAAUCUUCCACAAUGGACGAAAGUCUGAUGGAGCAACGCCGCGUGAGUGAAGAAGGUCUUCGGAUCGUAAAACUCUGUUGUUAGAGAAGAACGUGCAUGAUAGUAACUGAUCAUGUAAUGACGGUAUCUAACCAGAAAGCCACGGCUAACUACGUGCCAGCAGCCGCGGUAAUACGUAGGUGGCAAGCGUUGUCCGGAUUUAUUGGGCGUAAAGGGAACGCAGGCGGUUUUUUAAGUCUGAUGUGAAAGCCUUCGGCUUAACCGAAGAAUAGCAUUGGAAACUGGAAGACUUGAGUGCAGAAGAGGAGGGUGGAAUUCCAUGUGUAGCGGUGAAAUGCGUAGAUAUAUGGAGGAACACCAGUGGCGAAAGCGGCUCUCUGGUCUGUAACUGACGCUGAGGUUCGAAAGCGUGGGUAGCAAACAGGAUUAGAAACCCGUGUAGUCC